GUGAAAUAAACACUCCUCUAUGUGUGUGUGCCUGGAAUAGCAAUCCUGAUGUUUCUAAGGGUAUUCACAUUUUAAAAGUGAAGUGUAAAAAUUCAGUCAUUUUGUGUUGGUUGACAUUUUUUAAAUGGCAUGUCUUUUUUUAUAACUGAAAACUAAAUUUGGUUUAGGUUAGGCUUACCAGUUACCUAUUGUUGCAUAAUAAACUGUCCCAAACUUAGUGGCAUAAAACAAUACCAUUUUAUUAUGCUAAAACAUUCUUUAGGUCAGAAAUUCAAUGAGGCAUGGUGGAAAUAGCAUAUCUCUGCU
rnacentral:lncRNA from 1 species